rnacentral:rRNA from 1 species
AACGAACGCUGGCGGCGUGCUUCAUACAUGCAAGUCGUACGAGAAAGCCCUGCUUCGGCGGGGUUAGUAAAGUGGCGAACGGGUGCGUAACACGUGGGUAAUCUGCCUUAAAGCUGGGGAUAAGCCCUCGAAAGGGGGUCUAAUACCGAUUAACGUCCCGAGGAGGCAUCUUUUUGGGACCAAAGGUAGCCCUUAAAAGUUAUCGCUUUGAGAUGAGCCCGCGGUCCAUUAGCUAGUUGGUGAGAUAAUAGCCCACCAAGGCUACGAUGGAUAGCCGGCCUGAGAGGGUGUACGGCCACACUGGGACUGAGAUACGGCCCAGACUCCUACGGGUGGCUG